UACAGAGGGUGCAAGCGUUGUUCGGAAUUAUUGGGCGUAAAGGGCGCGUAGGCGGUGCGGUAAGUCACCUGUGAAAUCUCCUGGCUUAACUGGGAGCCUGCAGGCGAAACUACCGUGCUGGAGUGUGGGAGAGGUGCGUGGAAUUCCCGGUGUAGAGGUGAAAUUCGUAGAUAUCGGGAGGAACACCAGUGGCGAAGGCGGCGAUCUGGGAAGUUACUGACGCUGAGAGGCGAAAGCGUGGGGAGCAAACAGG
rnacentral:rRNA from 1 species